rnacentral:rRNA from 1 species
AACCUGCCCAAGAGAUCGGGAUAACACCUGGAAACAGAUGCUAAUACCGGAUAACAACAGAUGAUGCCUAUCAACUGUUUAAAAGAUGGUUCUGCUAUCACUCUUGGAUGGACCUGCGGUGCAUUAGCUAGUUGGUAGGGUAACGGCCUACCAAGGCGAUGAUGCAUAGCCGAGUUGAGAGACUGAUCGGCCACAUUGGGACUGAGACACGGCCCAAACUCCUACGGGAGGCAGCAGUU